GGGGGAUUAGCUCAGCUGGCUAGAGCGCCUGCCUUGCACGCAGGAGGUCAUCGGUUCGACUCCGAUAUUGUCCA
rnacentral:tRNA from 1 species